AGCUCAACUAUGUCAGAUAAACAUAUACUCACAUAAUUAAUAUUAAUACAUAAUAAUUAUUCAUACAAGACUUAAAUACAAACCUACCCCUCUGUAAAAAUACAACACUUUACAACAUCAAGGGCGAGGGAAAUAAACCCAAAAGCAACUAGCCAAACAAGCCUUCUAUUCGUCCGUAGCUUUUCAAUUAGCCAUCCUGUUUGUACCUCUGAAAAUAUUUUUUUAAAAACUUUGGGGUGAGAACAAAGCCACACGUUCUCAGUAGGGAACGUGAAUGCCGCAAUAAACAGAGUAAAUACAAAUAGCUAGUUCAUAUCACAAAAACAAUUUCACUUAAAACAGUUUUAAAUUCCUUUCUUUAAAUCACGUUACUUACACAAAAAUCCAGUCACAUUAACAGUUCCUUAUCCAUAAACAACAUUCCUAAAUACAUUAUUAAGACUACAACACAAGUAAAAUAUUCAUCAAGCACACAAGCAAAUCACCAAAACAACAGCUCAAUCACAAAUGAACAAUAAAGCAAACGCAAUCAAAUGUAAAUGCGCAAACAAGAUGAUGCAUGCCUGUUCCUAGCGCAGGCCAUGAGCUCAUGCGUCGGUUGUCUACCCGCAACCCGACGUUACUCGGAGUGAACCCCGAAUAUGGUCCCUUUACUGUGUCAAUUAGACACCUUGGCAUCACGGUUACCCGUGUCAAUUAGGCCUCAUUAUAAUAACAGUUCAAUGUGUAUCACAGUAAGGAACAGUGCUAUCAAUUAGGCGAACAUUCCCG
rnacentral:lncRNA from 1 species